AAGUCGUAACAAGGUUUCCGUAGGUGAACCUGCGGAAGGAUCAUUAAAAAAUCUCUUGAGCCGCAAGGCUCUAAUAUUUUGUGAACCUAUCGAUAGUGCGUGUGAUGAUUAUGUAUGUGGUGGAGGAUCAUUAUGAACAAUGAUGACCCUGCAAGCCAUGUAUAUUGUCUAUCUAUCUGCCUAUCAAAAGAUUAAACAUAUGUUUUUGAUGUUGAGGAAAUUAUAUAUCUAAUAAUAUAUAUACAACUUUCAACAGUGGAUCUCUCGGCUCUU
rnacentral:misc_RNA from 1 species